UCCGGUUUGUCACCGGCAGUCUCAUUAAAGUGCCCACCAUUACAUGCUGGCAAUUAAUGACAAGGGUUGCGCUCGUUGCGGGACUUAACCCAACAUCUCACGACACGAGCUGACGACAGCCAUGCAGCACCUGUGUAUCCGUUCUCUUGCGAGCACUCCCGCAUCUCUGCAGGAUCCGGACCAUGUCAAGGGUAGGUAAGGUUUUUCGCGUUGCAUCGAAUUAAUCCACGUCAUCCACCGCUUGUGCGGGUCCCCGUCAAUUCCUUUGAGUUUUAAUCUUGCGACCGUACUCCCCAGGCGGUCAACUUCACGCGUUAGCUUCGUUACCAAGAAAAUUAAUCCCCGACAACUGGUUGACAUCGUUUAGGGCGUGGACUAC
rnacentral:misc_RNA from 1 species